GGAACCGGAGGCCGUUUGGCUCCGGAGAGGCGGAAUUUGGGAAUUUUCUGGGCUUUCUGCCGGCGGGACCCCCCGGCCGAGGCGGCUUGGGCGCUCCCGGAGCUUUUCCAAGCUGCCGGAUAUUCCCGGAGAUGAAAUCCCGCCCGGUGCUGGCGGUGCCCGAGGUGUGUGACCCGUCUGGAACAGGGACAAGCGUCCGGCCCUGAGCGGCACCGGGAGCCCCCCAAGAUCCUGGAGCACCCCCAGAUCCUGGAUCCCCCCCGGAUCCUGGAGCACCCCCAAGUCCUGGAGCACCCCCAGAUCCUGGAGCCCCCCCGAGUGACCCCAGAGCCCUGCGGGGGGGUCCCCGCCGAGCUCCCGCCCCCGAGGCGCCGCUGCGUGUCCGUCCUGGAGCCCGGCACGGCCUGGGAUGAGGAGGAGGAGGAGGAGGAGG